UACGUAGGGGGCCAGCGUUGUCCGGAUUCAUUGGGCGUAAAGCGCGUGUAGGCGGCCAGGUAGGUCCGAUGUGAAAUCUGGAGGCUCAACCUCCAGCGGUCAUUGGAAACCAUCUGGCUAGAGUCCGGAAGAGGAGAGUGGAAUUCCACGUGUAGCGGUGAAAUGCGUAGAGAUGUGGAGGAACACUAGUGGCGAAGGCGACUCUCUGGUCUGUAACUGACGCUGAGGAGCGAAAGCGUGGGGAGCAAACAGG
rnacentral:rRNA from 1 species